rnacentral:lncRNA from 1 species
CGCAUGCGCGCACGCAUGCGGUUUGCAUAGGAUGUGCGCGCACAUCACGCGGGGCACGAGGUGCACGGUCUAUGUGUGACAAGCUUGGGCAGUGUGCACCACCCCUUAGGGGGCAUGCACUGUCGUUUGGUCGGUGUGUCGCUGCUGUCUGGGUGAUGUACCUUCGAUUUUUGUACCACUGUCGUGUUAUCGUCGUCUUGUUGGCCAUCUGUCAGUCACGUUCGUCAGUCAUCACAUCGUGUUAACUAACUUUUUUUCAUCCCUCUCUCCUCACAGAUUUGCAUCACUUGAGAGAAAUCCAACGGUCCCCUUUUUUCUAUAAAUAAGGACCUUCUCGACCAC